GGAGCGUUCUGUAAGCCUGUGAAGGUGUGUCGUGAGGCAUGCUGGAGGUAUCAGAAGUGCGAAUGCUGACAUAAGUAACGAUAAAGCGGGUGAAAAGCCCGCUCGCCGGAAGACCAAGGGUUCCUGUCCAACGUUAAUCGGGGCAGGGUGAGUCGACCCCUAAGGCGAGGCCGAAAGGCGUAGUCGAUGGGAAACGGGUUAAUAUUCCCGUACUUGGUGUUACUGCGAAGGGGGGACGGAGAAGGCUAUGUUGGCCGGGCGACGGUUGUCCCGGUUUAAGCGUGUAGGUGUGUGUUCCAGGUAAAUCCGGUUCACUUUAACACUGAGGCGUGACGACGAGGCACUACGGUGCUGAAGCAACAAAUGCCCUGCUUCCAGGAAAAGCCUCUAAGCAUCAGGUAACAUCAAAUCGUACCCCAAACCGACACAGGUGGUCAGGUAGAGAAUACCAAGGCGCUUGAGAGAACUCGGGUGAAGGAACUAGGCAAAAUGGUGCCGUAACUUCGGGAGAAGGCACGCUGACACGUAGGUGAAGUGAUUUACUCAUGGAGCUGAAGUCAGUCGAAGAUACCAGCUGGCUGCAACUGUUUAUUAAAAACACAGCACUGUGCAAACACGAAAGUGGACGUAUACGGUGUGACGCCUGCCCGGUGCCGGAAGGUUAAUUGAUGGGGUCAGCGCAAGCGAAGCUCCUGAUCGAAGCCCCGGUAAACGGCGGCCGUAACUAUAACGGUCCUAAGGUAGCGAAAUUCCUUGUCGGGUAAGUUCCGACCUGCACGAAUGGCGUAAUGAUGGCCAGGCUGUCUCCACCCGAGACUCAGUGAAAUUGAACUCGCUGUGAAGAUGCAGUGUACCCGCGGCAAGACGGAAAGACCCCGUGAACCUUUACUAUAGCUUGACACUGAACAUUGAGCCUUGAUGUGUAGGAUAGGUGGGAGGCUUUGAAGUGUGGACGCCAGUCUGCAUGGAGCCGACCUUGAAAUACCACCCUUUAAUGUUUGAUGUUCUAACGUGGACCCGUUACCCGGGUUGCGGACAGUGUCUGGUGGGUAGUUUGACUGGGGCGGUCUCCUCCUAAAGAGUAACGGAGGAGCACGAAGGUUGGCUAAUCCUGGUCGGACAUCAGGAGGUUAGUGCAAUGGCAUAAGCCAGCUUGACUGCGAGCGUGACGGCGCGAGCAGGUGCGAAAGCAGGUCAUAGUGAUCCGGUGGUUCUGAAUGGAAGGGCCAUCGCUCAACGGAUAAAAGGUACUCCGGGGAUAACAGGCUGAUACCGCCCAAGAGUUCAUAUCGACGGCGGUGUUUGGCACCUCGAUGUCGGCUCAUCACAUCCUGGGGCUGAAGUAGGUCCCAAGGGUAUGGCUGUUCGCCAUUUAAAGUGGUACGCGAGCUGGGUUUAGAACGUCGUGAGACAGUUCGGUCCCUAUCUGCCGUGGGCGCUGGAGAACUGAGGGGGGCUGCUCCUAGUACGAGAGGACCGGAGUGGACGCAUCACUGGUGUUCGGGUUGUCAUGCCAAUGGCACUGCCCGGUAGCUAAAUGCGGAAGAGAUAAGUGCUGAAAGCAUCUAAGCACGAAACUUGCCCCGA
rnacentral:rRNA from 1 species